CCUACGGGUAGCAGCAGUGGGGAAUAUUGGGCCAUGGGCGCAAGCCUGACCCAGCAACGCCGCGUGAAGGAAGAAGGCUUUCGGGUUGUAAACUUCUUUUCUGAGGGACGAAGAAAGUGACGGUACCUUAGGAAUAAGCCACGGCUAACUACGUGCCAGCAGCCGCGGUAAUACGUAGGUGGCAAGCGUUAUCCGGAUUUAUUGGGUGUAAAGGGCGUGUAGGCGGGAAAGCAAGUCAGAUGUGAAAACUCAGGGCUCAACCCUGAGCCUGCAUUUGAAACUGUUGUUCUUGAGUGCUGUAGAGGCAAUCGGAAUUCCGUGUGUAGCGGUGAAAUGCGUAGAUAUACGGAGGAACACCAGUGGCGAAGGCGGAUUGCUGGACAGUAACUGACGCUGAGGCGCGAAAGCGUGGGGAGCAAACAGGAUUAGAUACCCCAGUAGUC
rnacentral:rRNA from 1 species